CCCUUUUCAGGGUCGCACCUGGAGAGUUUCCAGUACUCUACCAGUCGCGGCUACGGGAGGGAGAGUCAAGCAGAGACAGACCUAUUCCAUUCCUAGCUUGGCCAGCGGCUAGUGAAUGUCAGGCAAUCUGCUACAAGU